rnacentral:tRNA from 1 species
CGACUUAGCUCAAUUGGUAGAGCAAUUCAUUCGUAAUGAAGAGGUUGAAGGUUCAAGUCCUUCUCUCGGC